GUCCUUUUGACUAUAAUUUAAGGUCUAACCUGCCCACUGAUAAAUUUAAUGGCCGCGGUAUUUUGACCGUGCAAAGGUAGCAUAAUCAUUAGUUUUUUAAUUGAAAGCUGGAAUGAAAGGUUGAAUGAAAAAAUAUCUGUCUCUAAUUAAAAAUUUGAAUUUUAUUUUUAAGUUAAAAAGCUUAAAUGAAAUUAAAAGACGAGAAGACCCUAUAGAGUUUAAUAAUUUUAAAAAAUUGUAUUUUUGGAAUUAUUAUUUUAAUUUUUUAAGUUUAUUUAAUUGGGGUGAUUGAAAAAUUUAAUGAACUUUUUUUUAUUUUUAUCAUUUUUAUAUGAAUAGUUGAUCCAUUUUUUAUGAUUAUAAGAUAAAAUUACCUUAGGGAUAACAGCGUAAUUUUUCUUUAGAGUUCUUAUUGAAAGGAGAGAUUGCGA
rnacentral:rRNA from 1 species